GUGGGGAAUUUUGGACAAUGGGCGCAAGCCUGAUCCAGCAAUGCCGCGUGCAGGAAGAAGGCCUUCGGGUUGUAAACUGCUUUUGUACGGAACGAAACGGUCCUGGCUAAUACCUGGGGCUAAUGACGGUACCGUAAGAAUAAGCACCGGCUAACUACGUGCCAGCAGCCGCGGUAAUACGUAGGGUGCGAGCGUUAAUCGGAAUUACUGGGCGUAAAGCGUGCGCAGGCAGUGCUGUAAGACAGGCGUGAAAUCCCCGGGCUCAACCUGGGAAUUGCGCUUGUGACUGCAGUGCUGGAGUGCGGCAGAGGGGGAUGGAAUUCCGCGUGUAGCAGUGAAAUGCGUAGAUAUGCGGAGGAACACCGAUGGCGAAGGCAAUCCCCUGGGCCUGCACUGACGCUCAUGCACGAAAGCGUGGGGAGCAAACAGGAUUAGAAACCCCUGUAGUCC
rnacentral:rRNA from 1 species